UACGUAGGGAGCAAGCGUUGUCCGGAAUCAUUGGGCGUAAAGCGCGCGUAGGUGGCCAUGUAAGUCCGCUGUGAAAGUCAAAGGCUCAACCUUUGAAAGCCGGUGGAUACUGCAUGGCUAGAGUACGGAAGAGGCGAGUGGAAUUCCUGGUGUAGCGGUGGAAUGCGCAGAUACCAGGAGGAACACCAAUAGCGAAGGCAGCUCGCUGGGACGUCACUGGCACUGAGGCGCGAAAGCGUGGGGAGCGAACAGG
rnacentral:rRNA from 1 species